rnacentral:rRNA from 1 species
CCUUUUAAACAGCGUCAAAGCUUAAUUAUAUACCCAAUAAAUCCCCCAACCAAAUUAAAACCCUACCACAAUACUGAAUAAUUCCAUACAUCUAUGGAAAAUAUAAUGUUAAAACUAGUAACACGAAGUUAAAACCUCUCUUAAAUGUGAAUGUAAGUCAGAAUGGAACACACACUGACAAUUAACGGCCUAAACUAAAGUAACAAAUACUCAAGAAAACCAUACUAAUUUACCUGUUAACCUAACACAAGAACAUUUAAAGAAAGACUUAAAGAAAAAGAAGGAACUCGGCAAAACUGAUUCCGCCUGUUUACCAAAAACACCGCCUCCUGACUAAUCAUAGGAGGUCCCGCCUGCCCAGUGACUCUGUUUAACGGCCGCGGUAUACUAACCGUGCGAAGGUAGCGUAAUCACCUGUUUUUUAAUUAAAGACCUGUAUGAAAGGCAUCACGAGAAUCACACUGUCUCCUUUCUCAAGUCAGUGAAACUAAUCUCCUCGUGAAAAAGCGAGGAUAACACUACAAGACGAGAAGACCCUUUGGAGCUUAAGACAAAAUAAAUACCUGCUAAUUUCCGCCCCCAACACCACACAGCACCCUAUUUAUAAGUCUUGGGUUGGGGCAACCACGGAGUAAAAACAAACCUCCGAGUUGGACGGGAAUUCCCUAAACAAAGAGCAACAGCUCUAUGUAUCAAAAACUGACACAUUUGACCCAGUAUAUCUGAUUAACGAACCAAGUUACCCCAGGGAUAACAGCGCAAUCCACUUAAAGAGUUCAUAUCGAAAAGUGGGCUUACGACCUCGAUGUUGGAUCAAGGUACCCUGGUGGUGCAGCCGCUACCAAAGGUUCGUUUGUUCAACGAUUAAAACCUCACGCG